rnacentral:tRNA from 1 species
GCCCCCCUAGCUCAGUGGUAGAGCGCGUUCUUGGUAAGAACGAGGUCACGGGAUCGAUUCCCGUGGGGGGCUC